rnacentral:lncRNA from 1 species
CGUGAGGUCUGUAAAAAAAACGGUGUGGUCCACCAAAAAGAAAAACCCUAGGCUAUGUGUCCUCCUAUUAUAUGGGCUCAUCAUAAAUUUUUGCCAACAUUGACCCAAUGCACACAAGUUUAAAUAAAAAUAUUCUAGACUACUAAAUUACAAUUUAAUUAAACUUGAAAUGUCUAUGUGUAGAGUCUUUAAUUAAUUUGCCUCCUUC